UACGUAGGGGGCAAGCGUUGUCCGGAAUCAUUGGGCGUAAAGAGCGUGUAGGCGGCCCGAUAAGUCCGCUGUGAAAGUCCAGGGCUCAACCCUGGGAUGCCGGUGGAUACUGUCGAGCUCGAGUCCGGAAGAGGCGAGUGGAAUUCCUGGUGUAGCGGUGAAAUGCGCAGAUAUCAGGAGGAACACCAAUGGCGAAGGCAGCUCGCUGGGACGUGACUGACGCUGAGACGCGAAAGCGUGGGGAGCAAACAGG
rnacentral:rRNA from 1 species